CUUAACCACCACUCCUCCUCCUCCUCCUCUUCCUUCACCUCCACCACCACCACCCAUUUCUAUUCCAUGGCUGAGUUGACUCAGCCCGAGGUCGUCUACUCACCUCGCUCUCUUCAACUAUGGAGGACGCUCUGGAACUGGCUCGCUUUCCUCUUCCAGAUCUUCCUCCAGAUCCUCAGAGCCUUAGGCCACCUUCCUCUGCUUUCUUCUUCUUCGUCCUCUUCUAACUCUUUCAAGCCUUUGCCAGUCGUUGAGUUGCUGGAAACUGACUCUUCCGACACUCUUGAGAUCACCGCCGGCCCUGACUCCGUUCCUGUCGAUGAGCCUGUCAAAAAACUUACGGUGGUUCUUGACUUGGAUGAAACUCUUGUAUGUGCAUAUGAGACAUGUAGUUUGCCAGCUAUUCUACGUAAUCAAG
rnacentral:misc_RNA from 1 species